rnacentral:rRNA from 1 species
CAUUUCUAUUAGAUAUAAUUAAUAGUAUAAUCUGCUCAAUGAAUAUUAAUAAAUAGCCGCAAUACGUGCUAAGGUAGUAUAAUAAUUUGUCUUUUAAUUAAAGACCAAACGAAAGAUUUAACAUUUUAGUUUAUGUAAUAUCAAAUUUAUUAAAAUUAUUUUAAUAAUUAAAAAAUUUUUCUUUAUAAAAAAGACGACAAGACCCUAUCGAACUUAACUUUAGUUUAACUGGGGUAGUUAAUAAAUUAAAACUUUAUUAAUUUACUUUUAAAUAAAGAUCUAAUAAAAUUAAUUUAAAGAUUAAGUUACCGUAGGGAUAACAGUGUAAUAAAAUUUGUAAGAACUUAUUUUAAUAAUAGAUUACAACCUCGAUGUUGAAUUAAUAACCUAAUUUACGCAAUAGUAAAUAAAGAAAGUCUGUUCGACUUUUAAAUAAUUACAUGAUCUGAG